UACGUAGGGGGCAAGCGUUGUCCGGAUUUAUUGGGCGUAAAGAGCGUGUAGGCGGCUUUACAGGUCCGUUGUGAAAACUCGAGGCUCAACCUCGAGACGCCGGUGGAAACCGUAAAGCUAGAGUCCGGAAGAGGAGAGUGGAAUUCCUGGUGUAGCGGUGAAAUGCGCAGAUAUCAGGAGGAACACCAGCGGCGAAGGCGGCGCUCUGGGCCGGUACUGACGCUGAGGAGCGAAAGCGUGGGUAGCAAACAGG
rnacentral:rRNA from 1 species